rnacentral:snRNA from 1 species
UCAACUUCUGGCCUUUUGGCUCAGAUCAAGUGUAGUAUCUGUUCUUCUAUCGGUUUAAUAUCGGUCGUCCCCCUAGAGACUACUAAUAUUUGAACGAUUGGAAACUCCUCGCUCCUGCGCCGACCGGUAUUGCAGUACCUCCGGGGAAUGGUGCAUACUUU